rnacentral:tRNA from 1 species
CCCGCCGCAGCUUGUUGGCGAAGCACCGCCCCGAUAAGGCGGAGACAGCGUGUUCGAUUCACGCGGGCGGGACCA